rnacentral:rRNA from 1 species
UACAGAGGUCCCAAGCGUUGUUCGGAUUCACUGGGCGUAAAGGGUGCGUAGGCGGUCGGGUAAGUCUGAUGUGAAAUCUCACAGCUUAACUGUGAAACUGCAUUGGAUACUAUCCGGCUAGAGGAAUGGAGGGGAGACUGGAAUACUUGGUGUAGCAGUGAAAUGCGCAGAUAUCAGGAGGAACACCGGUGGCGAAGGCGGGUCUCUGGGCCGAUACUGACGCUGAGGAGCGAAAGCGUGGGGAGCGAACAGG